rnacentral:rRNA from 1 species
ACGACUCUGGUAUUGAUUGGUGCUUGCAUCAUGAUUUACAUUUGAGUGAGUGGCGAACUGGUGAGUAACACGUGGGAAACCUGCCCAGAAGCGGGGGAUAACACCUGGAAACAGAUGCUAAUACCGCAUAACAACUUGGACCGCAUGGUCCGAGUUUGAAAGAUGGCUUCGGCUAUCACUUUUGGAUGGUCCCGCGGCGUAUUAGCUAGAUGGUGAGGUAACGGCUCACCAUGGCAAUGAUACGUAGCCGACCUGAGAGGGUAAUCGGCCACAUUGGGACUGAGACACGGCCCAAACUCCUACGGGAGGCAGCAGUAGGGAAUCUUCCACAAUGGACGAAAGUCUGAUGGAGCAACGCCGCGUGAGUGAAGAAGGGUUUCGGCUCGUAAAACUCUGUUGUUAAAGAAGAACAUAUCUGAGAGUAACUGUUCAGGUAUUGACGGUAUUUAACCAGAAAGCCACGGCUAACUACGUGCCAGCAGCCGCGGUAAUACGUAGGUGGCAAGCGUUGUCCGGAUUUAUUGGGCGUAAAGCGAGCGCAGGCGGUUUUUUAAGUCUGAUGUGAAAGCCUUCGGCUCAACCGAAGAAGUGCAUCGGAAACUGGGAAACUUGAGUGCAGAAGAGGACAGUGGAACUCCAUGUGUAGCGGUGAAAUGCGUAGAUAUAUGGAAGAACACCAGUGGCGAAAGCGGCUGUCUGGUCUGUAACUGACGCUAAGGCUCGAAAGUAUGGGUAGCAAACAGGAUUAGAUACCCUGGUAGUCCAUACCGUAAACGAUGAAUGCUAAGUGUUGGAGGGUUUCCGCCCUUCAGUGCUGCAGCUAACGCAUUAAGCAUUCCGCCUGGGGAGUACGGCCGCAAGGCUGAAACUCAAAGGAAUUGACGGGGGCCCGCACAAGCGGUGGAGCAUGUGGUUUAAUUCGAAGCUACGCGAAGAACCUUACCAGGUCUUGACAUACUAUGCAAAUCUAAGAGAUUAGACGUUCCCUUCGGGGACAUGGAUACAGGUGGUGCAUGGUUGUCGUCAGCUCGUGUCGUGAGAUGUUGGGUUAAGUCCCGCAACGAGCGCAACCCUUAUUAUCAGUUGCCAGCAUUAAGUUGGGCACUCUGGUGAGACUGCCGGUGACAAACCGGAGGAAGGUGGGGAUGACGUCAAAUCAUCAUGCCCCUUAUGACCUGGGCUACACACGUGCUACAAUGGAUGGUACAACGAGUUGCGAACUCGCGAGAGUAAGCUAAUCUCUUAAAGCCAUUCUCAGUUCGGAUUGUAGGCUGCAACUCGCCUACAUGAAGUCGGAAUCGCUAGUAAUCGCGGAUCAGCAUGCCGCGGUGAAUACGUUCCCGGGCCUUGUACACACCGCCCGUCACACCAUGAGAGUUUGUAACACCCAAAGUCGGUGGGGUA